rnacentral:lncRNA from 1 species
ACAGGAAGUAGCAGAAUCAGGAAGUGAUUCUCCAUCGCCUCACACUGUCGAAAACCCAGAAAGCAGAGGAAAUGAGGCUCUUUCUGCAUCUGUUCCAUAAAGCUGAAGAUAUGCGGCAUCCUGGCUGGAACAGUGAGGGAAUGAAGAAAGAACAGGCGCAUGUGCAGAGAAGCUGGGGUCACGUGGGCCACAGGCACUCUGAUGGAGUCGCACCAACAGGCAACAGCCGUCUGGAACCACGGCGUGGGGGAGAGGUCUCUGGGGGUAAGCGGUCUCAGGCUGAAAGAGCUGGGCCAGGAAGCUGCAGGUGCCAGUUUUGCAAAUACUAGAUAACAGUUCACCAGUGCUCGUACUUGUCAAGGCAGAAGAGACCAUGGAAGGGUGCUGCUUACUGACUUACUCUUCAUGACUGGUUCAGCCUGCUUAUAGAACCGAGGACCAGCAGCCAGGGGUGUUUCCACCCACAAUGGGCUGGGCUCUACCCUGCCAGUCACGAAUUGAGAAAAUGCCUUACAGCUGGAUCUUAUGGAGGCAUUGUCUCAACAACGUGGGUUCCCCCUCCUUUCAAGUAACUCCAGUUUGUGUCCGGCUGACCUAGGAUGAGCCAGCACAGCGUUAAACAAUGGGAGUUUAAUUUUCAACAGCAAGGAAGGGCUAUGGAUAGAACCUAUGACUCUAAGUGCUAUUCUAACAGAGAAAAACAGCAACUCAACCCCUGCUACGACCUCGUCCCUCCUAAACGCCGCAAAUGCUUCCACGUAAAAUAACGAACUUCAUUCAAAUAAUAACAAAAGUAAACCAACGACCUAGCUCCUGAUGGAUAGGCAAGUUCCAAUGUAAUAACACAAAGUAACAGCAAACCAAGACAUGUCCCCUCCAAACCCUACCCAUCCAGAGUAAUGUUCUACAACGAGAGCGACCUAGAUGGAAUAAGAAUCUAAAAAGCGUGACGAUAAAUCCACUCACAAGAGAUGAAAGACGGCGUAAACAAACAAAG